UACGAAGGGUGCAAGCGUUACUCGGAAUUACUGGGCGUAAAGCGUGCGUAGGCGGUUUGUUAAGUCCGUUGUGAAAGCCCUGGGCUCAACCUGGGAAUUGCAGUGGAUACUGGCGAGCUAGAGUGCGGUAGAGGAUGGUGGAAUUCCCGGUGUAGCGGUGAAAUGCGUAGAGAUCGGGAGGAACACCCGUGGCGAAGGCGGCCAUCUGGACCAGCACUGACGCUGAGGCACGGAAAGCGUGGGGAGCAAACAGG
rnacentral:rRNA from 1 species